GGGGGUAUAGCUCAGUGCUAGAGCACUUGCCUAGCAUGUUCAAGUCCUUGGGUUCAAUCCCCAUUACCACCA
rnacentral:tRNA from 1 species